UGGGUUGUGGCUCAGCUGUAGAGUGCUCACCCAGCACAUGAGAGGCACUGGGUUCAAUCCUCAGCACCACAU
rnacentral:tRNA from 1 species